CGUUUGAUUUCUCAUAAAGAUGUAAAUGAAUCUUUUGUUUACUAGGUUUACAAAAGAUUAGAGGGAGUUAAUCAUAUUCCUAAAUUUGUAUAUAUAUAAAUAAAUAUAUAUAUGUGAUAUAUAUAUGAAUAUAUAUAUGAUAUAUUAAUUUUGGAAAUGAAAAGAAUAUUUCUUCGUUAAAGUUAUGACUUUAAGCAUU
rnacentral:lncRNA from 1 species